rnacentral:RNase_P_RNA from 1 species
GAGGCAGGUCGAAUAGCCGCCUUUCCCGAUUUACUCGGGAAGGGAGGAAAGUCCGAGCCCAGAGGGCAAGCGCAUCCCGAUAAUCUCGGGACUCCUGGACUGCUAGUCCAGGAAGGAUAAGAGCCACAGAGACGUAGCCCUGAACCAGUUAUGGUUCAGGGGUGAAACGUGGCAAUCUCUGCGCGGGGUAAGGCCAAAUAACCCAUGGCUGGCCCGGCCAAUGGGUGGGUAGGCCGCAUGAAUCCCGAUGCAAAUCGGGAACAAGAUAAAUGGCUAUGUAAACAGAACUCGGCUUACGAACCUGCCUCUGCA